UACAGAGGGGGCAAGCGUUGUUCGGAAUUACUGGGCGUAAAGGGCGCGUAGGCGGCUUUUCAAGUGACGGGUGAAAUCCCUCGGCUUAACCGAGGAACUGCCUGUCAGACUGGAAGGCUUGAGACCGGGAGAGGUGAGUGGAAUUCCCAGUGUAGCGGUGAAAUGCAUAGAUAUGACCCGGAACACCGAUUGCGAAGGCAGCCCACUAAGCAACGAUUGACGCUGAGGCACGAAAGCGUGGGGAUCAAACAGG
rnacentral:rRNA from 1 species